GGGUCGUUAGCUCAGUUGGUAGAGUAGUGGACUCUUAAUCCGUCGGUCGAGAGUUCGAGCCUCUCACAACCUACCA
rnacentral:tRNA from 1 species